AUGUAACCGCCAAUUGCAAUAUUUGAAAAAAAAACUCCGAUCAACCACUGUUUUGCUGUUGAUAAGUCCGUCGAUAAUUCAUCAUAAACUAAAGGAACACAGGUCAGAUUCGGACAACGACUUCAAAGUCAUUCGCAGAAUAGGCUAAACAAUUGGACGACGGAUACACUGGAUGAUAAUGUAGAUGGUCCAGGAUUAUCAGGGAAGGAUACUACAGGUGCUGAACACAGAAAACCGUUUACAAGAAAACAACUGGAGUUUGUGAAAGCUUCAAGGAAUUAAUCCUGCUGGGUACCCAUUCACUUCACCUUGCUCGAGUGCAGCACAGUGUGGAUAAAUGUGUUGCUGAAGGAAAAUACCAUUGCUAGGAUUUGAACCCACGACCCUCUGUUUGAAAGGUGAGAGACAGAACCACUUGACCACGACGCACCCACAAUUUACAAGCUGAUGUCAUAUCCCCACUUGUUCUUUAGUAUUUUAUAACAAGAAGUCCUGUUUAUUCACAUUUUGACCUCCAAGAACUAAAUAGUGGAGUGAAAAUGUAUUUAAUGUGAACAUAUGCAUUGCUGGAAAUCACUUCAUGAUAUGUGGGACAAAUCAUACACACGUGUAUGAAAAUAUGAAAUAAUUAUGGUUUCAUUUUAUUACAUAAGCCUAACAAAUAUUCCUGACGAUCAUGUGCACAUUCCAGUAAUAUUUCCCAAAAUGUUGCUAAACUUUCAAAUUAAAGACUUCGUUAUCAGAUUUUAAUGAAAUUGUCAACAUUAUGCUUUUCUGAUUCAUUCUUUUCCUACCUAAAUCUCCCCUUUUCUCAUGCUUUCUUUCUAUGGUCCCCUUCAUUCUCCUUAUCACUAUGUUAUAGGUAAAAUGUAACCGGUCGUCUAACCCAUUUGAUUGAAGGGUUAGGUACUCUACUCUAGGUACUCACAUUUAAAAGUUAUGUGAUUCAAACACAAAGUGUACAUCAGACAAACAAAAAACACUGAAAAUUUCAUCGAAAUUGAAUGAGUAUUAACGAAGUUAUGACGAAUUAAUGUUGUUAUUUUUUUGGUAAAACUGUUCUCUGCAUGUCCUCAUUAAAGGACAAGUCCACCCCAACAAAAAAUUGAUUUGAAUAAAAAGAGAAAAAUCCAACAAGCAUAACACUGAAAAUUUCAUCAAAAUCGGAUAAAAAAUAAGAAAGUUAUGAUAUUUUAAAGUUUCGCUUAAUUUCACAGAACAGUUAUAUGCACAUCCUGGUCUGUAUGCAAAUGAAGAGACUGAUGAUGUCAUCCACUCACUAUUUCUUUUGUAUUUUAUUAUAGGAAAUAUGAAAUUUUCUAAUUUUCUCCUCAUUGUCAAGUGAUACAACGAUUAAUUCCUCCCUGAACAUGUGGAAUUAGCAUUGUUUAAUACUAUAUGGUUCAGUCAAGUUGGUCCUUAUUGUCAAAUCUAUAAAAAAUGAAAUAUUGUAUAAUUCAAACAAUAAAAAACAAAAGAAAUAGUGAGUGAGGGACAUCAUCAACUUUCUCAUUUGAGUUGUGCAUAUCACUGUUUUGUGAAAAAUAAGCGAAACUUUAAAAUGUCAUAACUUUCUUAUUUUACAUCCAAUUUUGAUUUUUCUCUAUUUAUUCAAGUCAGCAUUUUCCUGGGGUGGACUUGACCUUUAAUAUACAAGAUCCCAAUUUAUAUAUUUUUUUUUAUUAUAUGAAUUCAAAUUUUGUCAGCUAGGUUGUAAGAAUUUACGAUUGACUACUGAUUUACUGUGUAAGACAAUCUUAUUUUUUCUCACACAUAGUUAAGUAAUUCAUCUGAUUCAACACAACAAAAAUAGACAAAAAAGAAAUAAGUGGGUAUCUUGUAUAUAUUAUUUUCUAUAUAUUUUGCAAAAUGUUAGAAAAAGAGGUCCCUAUUUUUCUUCUGUUUUUUCAGUGUUCCAAAUUAACUUAUUUCUUUUUCCUAUUUUCAUUAUAUUUUCAUUCUAUUUGUGAUAUAUCAUUUAUUUCUUUAUAUAUCUUUAUUGUAUUUAUGAUAAACUUUUGGCGUGUUUCUACAGAAAUCAUUAAAAAACGGUUUAUCUUUACCAUACCUUAUCGCCCUUAAACCAACCUGUUUCUACUGACCGAAUAAUCUGAUUAACUCGCAUUUCGCGUCACAAAUACGGCGGAAAUCGGAAAAUUCAACCUAUAACCUCACAUUGCAUCUUGCUAGGGAAAUUUUCAAAAUUUAUGGUAGAUCUCACUCAAUGUAGCAGGUAUGCACAUUGCGCGAUCAGCUGGCGAGAUCGAAAAGGCCAGAAUAUAUGCAUACUGCGAAAUUGCACUUCCGGGUUCAAGCACUUCCGCCAGACACAA